rnacentral:lncRNA from 1 species
GGCGUGACUGACCAGGAUCCAGCCACCAAUCAUACUGAACAAGCAUAUAAGUAGUUAUAAAAGUUUAACCAUCACGAUUGGUGUUCCAAAACAAAUAAGUUUAAGUUGCAAGCGGAAGCAUAAGUUUAAAGUUAUAACAUAAGUUCCAAAAGUUUCAAGUUUAACAUAGUCUUGUAGCAAUCCCUGUCCCACAACGAUCCUCCUCCAUGCAAGCUCCAGCUGAGAUCCAGCCACCAAUCAUACUGAACAAGCAUAUAAGUAGUUAUAAAAGUUUAACCAUCACGAUUGGUGUUCCAAAACAAAUAAGUUUAAGUUGCAAGCGGAAGCAUAAGUUUAAAGUUAUAACAUAAGUUCCAAAAGUUUCAAGUUUAACAUAGUCUUGUAGCAAUCCCUGUCCCACAACGAUCCUCCUCCAUGCAAGCUCCAGCUGAGUACCUAUGGUCCUGCAAAGCAUGUAGUAACGAGUCAACAACUAGUUGAGUGAGUUCACGGGUGGGCGUUCGUUUUAGUUGUUUCGAAAACAGUUUACAUUAUCUGGCAUCCUGCCGUGGGGGUUACCCCAUAGUUUAAAAAACGUGACCAGUUCGUUCCCAGUUACUCCGGCACUCCGGCCGUGGGGGCUACCCCAUGUAGUUAUCAGGCAUUUCGGCCGUGGGGGCUACCCCAUGUACAUCAUCUGGCUCUCCAGCCGUGGGGGCUACCCCAUGUGUAUACUAGACUCGUUACCGUAUCGAUUGCUGACUGUAGUCAUGUUUAUGUGCCCUGAAAACAUCAAUGUCUAUCAUCAUUGACGUGCCCCAGAUCCAUUAGUUCACGCCCGUCCUCUGCGGCACGGUGUGAGGCUUGUCAGACCUAAAUAGCGCUAUCUAACUAAUGACCCGCUCGCCAUUGGCCCGGCGAUUAGUCGAUACAAAAAGGAGGGACUUCGUGAUAGAGUUUUAGUCUAGUACGUUUAUCCGUCCAUCCGGACGAGGAAUCACAUUCCUGAACCACUGACGUCCUACCCAAUGGUAGACGAGGAACCCAUGUUCCUGAAUCCCAUUCCCAACCCAGGGAAUCCCAUGCUUUGUAAAGGGUGUGAACUCACCUUGGUUUGCUCGGCAGUCAAACACAGAAAGUCAAUCAAGUCGCAAGUAGUCAAUAACGUCCUAACACGGAUAUCACAUAUAAUCAGAUUCGAACCAAGUAGUGCACAAAUGUUCAACACGUUUGGCAAGCACGUUUAGUAGUAACAGUUAACAGUCAACAGUAGCACAUACGGUUCACAAGUUCAGCCCAACUACUUAGGCCCAAACACGUAAAAGCAGUUAACACAGAAGCCCAUCAGUCUGGCCCAUUAACUAAGGCCCAAAAGUGUGGUCUCGAGUCGCAACCGGACUCGCAAGCAUGGUCUCGAGUCAUGCUGUGUGUUGAUCAUGGAUGGUUGCGAGUCGCAACCGGUGUCGCAACCGUAGUCUCGGUUCAUCAUGCUAAGGUCUCGAGUCGCAACCGGACUCGUAACCUGUGGUUUCGGCUUGUCCUGUUAUGGUUGCGAGUCGCAACCGCGUGGUCUCGAGUCAUCACGCUGUGGUUGCGAGUCGCAACGGGUGAUUGCGAGUCGGUAAGCUGUCAUUUUCACGUUCACGUGUUGAUGCAGGUGUAAUCAGCCAAAUAGUACAAUAUAAUCAGGCCCAAAUCCGGAAAUGACCAAUAGAAUUUCACUAACAUAUUUCCUAAUCAGGCUAUUAGUCAAAUGUGGAUCAAAAUCACAAGGGUUUUCAAUCUUCAACUAUCAUUCAAAGUGUUCUUCAAAUAUUCAAACCCAUCUUCAUCAAGUUCAUAACAUUUUAACCACUUAUUCAAUCAACACUAUGAACAAGCAUCAAAACACUAAGCAUAACACAUAACCCGGUUUUCAUACAAGUCCGAUUUCAUGACAUAUGUAACCCGAUUUCAUGUUCAUCAACAUAAGUGGUUCAAACUUCAUUUAGACACAACAUAUCACAUCUUGCCAUAUAAUAUAUGUUAACCGGUUAUCAACAUGGUGCAUAUUAGAAUCAUCAUAAACAUCAAGAACAUCAUGUAAUCUCUAACUAUAGACAUCAUCUUAUGCAUACAUCCAUUCAAGCACAAACACAACAAAAAUUAACCAUAAAAAUACUAACCGGUUGGUGAUGUGUGUGUGUGUGCCGAUCCAAAGUCCAAAUCCGAGAGUUUCUUGUGUCAACCGAGUGGAUCCGAGAGUCUUGGAGAUGUGUUUGUGUGCUAGAGUUCUAGUGGGAGAGAAGAUAGAAGUGUGUGUGUGUUCUAAUGUUCAACAAAGUGGUAACAAGUAACUAGGGGUGGUGUAUUUAUAGUCAAGUUCCAAAUGGUGCACCCUUAGUGGGUUUCGAGUGGGGGUUCACGGCCCAAAGGCCC